UUAUUUAUUUCUGUAUUUCCACAUUUCUACAUGUAUUUUUCCCUGCGCCUGUAUGCUAAUUGAGUUGGGGGUGCCAACAUCAGUCUGAAGAAGGAUUGGUUAGCUGGAGGCCGCAUCGCUAACCAGACAGAAGCAAACGAUCCAUCUAUCAGGCUACCUAUGAAUGCUGCGGCUAGUGUGUAAUACAAUCUAUCUAUGGUAAUGAGUUGGGCGGUGCUUAACUGUGGAUCGUCCGUUUUCAACAUGGCGGUCGGGUCAGGAACUUUCCCAUUUUAGAGGUCCAUCAUGCACUGCGCAGUCGGAUCUACUGAUUGAUUGGUGACAUCCAUCAGCGGAUCCUGUGUGUCUCCAGCAUUUUAUGCAUGUGGGAUCUCCAGCUGGAGAGACGAAAUGGCUUCAAGUGGGAGGCCGUUGGCGGACCUGUUGCGCGAUGUGGCUCACCAGCUCAAAAGAACAUCGGGUGGUUCAUCAAAUUCAUCACCUCAGCCGCCAGAUAGGCCUAAUGUUAACGUUAAUGUUAAUGUUUCCAUAGUAGGAAAAAAAUAUUCUAUGGAAGUCAAUGGGACCCAGAAACUGUCUGGUUACUGACAUUCUUCUAAAUAUCUUCCUUUCUGUUCAGCAGAAGAAAUUCAUACAGGUUUUAAACAACAUGAGGCCUCUCCAAACAUACUUGGAAAACUUGUGCAGUUCUGGGUGGGCUGGAAUGUGCUUCCCAGGACAUUACAAAGAAUAUAGUGUCUUUGAAAGAGAAGUCCAUGCUGCUAUUUUGAGUGUUGAUACUGGUUUUGGAAUGGUCUAGGGACAUUCAUCAUAUAUAAUGUGUGCACCAUAACAUUUUGUUAUAUUGUUGCCUUUGAUUUUUUUUAAAAAUAGUACAGUAAAACUGUACUGAACAGUGAAUGAGUUCAGAGUUAAAGAAUAAAAAGCAUUUGCAUGUAGC
ensembl:lncRNA